CGCGUAGGUGGUUCUGUAUGUCUACCGUGAAAGCGUACGGCUCAACCGUAUUUUGUCGGUAGAAACUGCAGGACUUGAGGCUGGGAGGGGCUGGUGGAAUUCCCUGUGUAGCGGUGAAAUGCGUAGAGAUGGGGGAGGAACACUCGUGGCGAAGGCGGCCAGCUAGACCAGUUCUGACACUGAGGCGCGACAGCGUGGGGAGCAAACA
rnacentral:rRNA from 1 species